ACGUGGUGCUGUGAACAUUCAUCUUGCCUCUGCCUGCUGAUCUGGUGAGCAGGUGCUGCUGUCUGUGGGAGGAAGGAACCAGCUGCCCCCGGGUCAGCAGCAACUGUGUGGCCUCCCCAGGCUGGUGGUCAGGGGGCUGCCUUCCCCAUCAGGGUUGGCACCCACUCAGAGUACUUUUACUUUUGGGACUCAGCCGGACGUCUGUUUCGAAUGAGAGGAUGCAUGCUCUUCCUUCCCUCUCAGGAUCCCCCUGUUUCAGGCUCUCAGCAGCAGCCCUGCUUUGAACUGGCUGUGUGACUUGAGGCUGCUCACUUGACCUCUCUGGUUAUCCGUGUCCUCAUCCAUAGGAUGGAGAUACUCAUGCUCACCACUGAGAAGUGCUGUGCGGAUUGGGCAAGGCUGCAAGUGUGACCCUUUAGCACGCUGGGCCUCUUCAGUGAUCCUGAAGUCACGCUUGCCACUGGCAGCAUAGGUGGCAUCCACAUCUAUGGGUGGAAAGCGUCUCCAAGCAGGGGCCUCUCCCUUCCUCUUCACAAACUCCAGGACGCAGGAAGCGCACAGCCGGUGUCUAUUCCUGUGUGGACAAACACGUCCAUGAACGAGGAGCUGGCACCUCUCUCCUGAAGACCUGUUUAUUUCAUGUCAUGUAAGGGCAUUGUUUCUGAAAACAUGGCUAAAUUUAGA